rnacentral:rRNA from 1 species
GAUGAACGCUGGCGGCGUGCCUAAUACAUGCAAGUCGAGCGAACAGACGAGGAGCUUGCUCCUCUGACGUUAGCGGCGGACGGGUGAGUAACACGUGGAUAACCUACCUAUAAGACUGGGAUAACUUCGGGAAACCGGAGCUAAUACCGGAUAAUAUAUUGAACCGCAUGGUUCAAUAGUGAACGACGGUUUUGCUGUCACUUAUAGAUGGAUCCGCGCCGCAUUAGCUAGUUGGUAAGGUAACGGCUUACCAAGGCAACGAUGCGAAGCCGACCUGAGAGGGUGAUCGGCCACACUGGAACUGAGACACGGUCCAGACUCCUACGGGAGGCAGCAGUAGGGAAUCUUCCGCAAUGGGCGAAAGCCUGACGGAGCAACGCCGCGUGAGUGAUGAAGGUCUUCGGAUCGUAAAACUCUGUUAUUAGGGAAGAACAAAUGUGUAAGUAACUAUGCACGUCUUGACGGUACCUAAUCAGAAAGCCACGGCUAACUACGUG